rnacentral:rRNA from 4 species
GAACGACUCUCGGCAACGGAUAUCUCGGCUCACGCAUCGAUGAAGAACGUAGCAAAAUGCGAUACUUGGUGUGAAUUGCAGAAUCCCGUGAACCAUCGAGUUUUUGAACGCAAGUUGCGCCCGAAGCCAUCCGGUUGAGGGCACGUCUGCCUGGGCGUCACGCA